CUAAACAAAUAUAUAGAUAUAAUUGGCCAGCCCUCAGCUGGUCUCUGAUUAUGACCCGACCUGCUGAGAUAAAAUCCAGUGCAUCCUGUGCUACCUUGUUCAUGUCCCAGGAUUCAGUGACUUUGGGCAACUGAGUGGAAGAAUUGUGUUAUAUAACCAGGGAAGGAUGUGGUAGUUUUUAGAUGAGGAAGCCCAUAGAAAAUAUUGUGACAGGGAGAAAUGGAUUUUAAAUAAGUAUGACUGAAAAAAAACUUUUACUAUAAUAGAAAAUCUUGGUGCUGAGGGAAGAAAUC
rnacentral:lncRNA from 1 species